AACGAACGCUGGCGGCAUGCCUAACACAUGCAAGUCGAACGAGACCUUCGGGUCUAGUGGCGCACGGGUGCGUAACGCGUGGGAACCUGCCCUUAGGUUCGGAAUAACUCCCCGAAAGGGGUGCUAAUACCGGAUAAUGUCUUCGGACCAAAGAUUUAUCGCCUUUGGAUGGGCCCGCGUUGGCUUAGCUAGUUGGUAGGGUAAAAGCCUACCAAGGCGACGAUCCAUAGCUGGUCUGAGAGGAUGAUCAGCCACACUGGGACUGAGACACGGCCCAGACUCCUACGGGAGGCAGCAGUGGGGAAUAUUGGACGAUGGGCGAAAGCCUGAUCCAGCAAUGCCGCGUGAGUGAUGAAGGCCUUAGGGUUGUAAAGCUCUUUUACCCGGGAUGAUAAUGACAGUACCGGGAGAAUAAGCUCCGGCUAACUCCGUG
rnacentral:rRNA from 1 species